rnacentral:rRNA from 1 species
AUUGAACGCUGGCGGCAGGCCUAACACAUGCAAGUCGAACGAGUGGCGGACGGGUGAGUAAUGUCUGGGAAACUGCCUGAUGGAGGGGGAUAACUACUGGAAACGGUAGCUAAUACCGCAUACCAUCAGAUGUGCCCAGAUGGGAUUAGCUUGUUGGUGGGGUAACGGCGCACCAAGGCGACGAUCCCUAGCUGGUCUGGGAGGAUGACCAGCACAACUGGAACUGAGACACUGUCCAGACGCCGACGGGAGGCAGCAGUGGGGAAUAUGGCACAAUGGGCGCAAGCCUGAUGCAGCCAUGCCGCGUGUAUGAAGGAGGCCUUCGGGUUGUAAAGUUCUUACAGCGGUGAGGGGUUACCCGCAGAAGAAGCACCGGCUAACUCCGUGCCAGCAGCCGCGGUAAUUC